CCUACGGGUUGCUGCAGUGGGGAAUAUUGGACAAUGGGCGAAAGCCUGAUCCAGCCAUGCCGCGUGUGUGAAGAAGGCCUUCGGGUUGUAAAGCACUUUCAGUGGGGAAGAAAGCCUUGGGGCUAAUACCCUCGAGGAAGGACAUCACCCACAGAAGAAGCACCGGCUAACUCCGUGCCAGCAGCCGCGGUAAUACGGAGGGUGCGAGCGUUAAUCGGAAUUACUGGGCGUAAAGCGCGCGUAGGCGGUCUGAUAAGCCGGUUGUGAAAGCCCCGGGCUCAACCUGGGAACGGCAUCCGGAACUGUCAGGCUAGAGUGCAGGAGAGGGAGGUAGAAUUCCCGGUGUAGCGGUGAAAUGCGUAGAGAUCGGGAGGAAUACCAGUGGCGAAGGCGGCCUUCUGGACUGACACUGACGCUGAGGUGCGAAAGCGUGGGUAGCAAACAGGAUUAGAUACCCUAGUAGUC
rnacentral:rRNA from 1 species